rnacentral:lncRNA from 1 species
AUUAUUACAGAUGGAACUGUUUACAUUUGAAGGUAAACUAACAGCUUCAUGACUAGAACAGUGAAGGUAAAGUAACCACUUCAUGACUAGAACAGUCAGGUUUACAAGAAUUAGAAGAAGAAGAAGAACAUACAGAAACAGAAGAACAACAAUUAGAAGAAGAGGAAGGUGGUACCCAAGCAAGCUUGUACAGACCAGUCUCCUCUUUACCAAGAUCCAGAGGCAUCCUCAGAGAAGGGGCCUGUAACAUGUGGAGGAAACAGGAGGUUGUAGUGAACAAGACUAUGCAAUGCAACUGUUUUACUAAUUUGUGGACAAAAAUCAAGUUGUGUUUGAAAGAAGGAACAAGUAAGACAUCAUGAAGAGUGAUGAAUGGAUUUAAUGCAAAAGGUCCUGUGCAAGUCACUUUCACUUUAUAUCCAUUAGGAAGA